GGGGAGGAGCCCAGAGCCUGAAUCAGUGUGUGUGUUAGUGGAAGCGUCUGGAAAGGCGCGCGAUACAGGGUGACAGCCCCGUACACAAAAAUGCACAUAUUGUGAGCUCGAUGAGUAGGGCGGGACACGUGGUAUCCUGUCUGAAUAUGGGGGGACCAUCCUCCAAGGCUAAAUACUCCUGACUGACCGAUAGUGAACCAGUACCGUGAGGGAAAGGCGAAAAGAACCCCGGCGAGGGGAGUGAAAAAGAACCUGAAACCGUGUACGUACAAGCAGUGGGAGCCUCUUUAUGGGGUGACUGCGUACCUUUUGUAUAAUGGGUCAGCGACUUAUAUUCUGUAGCAAGGUUAACCGAAUAGGGGAGCCGAAGGGAAACCGAGUCUUAACUGGGCGUUAAGUUGCAGGGUAUAGACCCGAAACCCGGUGAUCUAGCCAUGGGCAGGUUGAAGGUUGGGUAACACUAACUGGAGGACCGAACCGACUAAUGUUGAAAAAUUAGCGGAUGACUUGUGGCUGGGGGUGAAAGGCCAAUCAAACCGGGAGAUAGCUGGUUCUCCCCGAAAGCUAUUUAGGUAGCGCCUCGUGAAUUCAUCUCCGGGGGUAGAGCACUGUUUCGGCAAGGGGGUCAUCCCGACUUACCAACCCGAUGCAAACUGCGAAUACCGGAGAAUGUUAUCACGGGAGACACACGGCGGGUGCUAACGUCCGUCGUGAAGAGGGAAACAACCCAGACCGCCAGCUAAGGUCCCAAAGUCAUGGUUAAGUGGGAAACGAUGUGGGAAGGCCCAGACAGCCAGGAUGUUGGCUUAGAAGCAGCCAUCAUUUAAAGAAAGCGUAAUAGCUCACUGGUCGAGUCGGCCUGCGCGGAAGAUGUAACGGGGCUAAACCAUGCACCGAAGCUGCGGCAGCGACACUAUGUGUUGUUGGGUAGGGGAGCGUUCUGUAAGCCUGUGAAGGUGGCCUGUGAGGGUUGCUGGAGGUAUCAGAAGUGCGAAUGCUGACAUAAGUAACGAUAAAGCGGGUGAAAAGCCCGCUCGCCGGAAGACCAAGGGUUCCUGUCCAACGUUAAUCGGGGCAGGGUGAGUCGACCCCUAAGGCGAGGCCGAAAGGCGUAGUCGAUGGGAAACAGGUUAAUAUUCCUGUACUUGGUGUUACUGCGAAGGGGGGACGGAGAAGGCUAUGUUGGCCGGGCGACGGUUGUCCCGGUUUAAGCGUGUAGGCUGGUUUUCCAGGCAAAUCCGGAAAACCAAGGCUGAGGCGUGAUGACGAGGCACUACGGUGCUGAAGCGACAAAUGCCCUGCUUCCAGGAAAAGCCUCUAAGCAUCAGGUAACAUCAAAUCGUACCCCAAACCGACACAGGUGGUCAGGUAGAGAAUACCAAGGCGCUUGAGAGAACUCGGGUGAAGGAACUAGGCAAAAUGGUGCCGUAACUUCGGGAGAAGGCACGCUGAUAUGUAGGUGAAGCGACUUGCUCGUGGAGCUGAAAUCAGUCGAAGAUACCAGCUGGCUGCAACUGUUUAUUAAAAACACAGCACUGUGCAAACACGAAAGUGGACGUAUACGGUGUGACGCCUGCCCGGUGCCGGAAGGUUAAUUGAUGGGGUUAGCGGUAACGCGAAGCUCUUGAUCGAAGCCCCGGUAAACGGCGGCCGUAACUAUAACGGUCCUAAGGUAGCGAAAUUCCUUGUCGGGUAAGUUCCGACCUGCACGAAUGGCGUAAUGAUGGCCAGGCUGUCUCCACCCGAGACUCAGUGAAAUUGAACUCGCUGUGAAGAUGCAGUGUACCCGCGGCAAGACGGAAAGACCCCGUGAACCUUUACUAUAGCUUGACACUGAACAUUGAGCCUUGAUGUGUAGGAUAGGUGGGAGGCUUUGAAGUGUGGACGCCAGUCUGCAUGGAGCCGACCUUGAAAUACCACCCUUUAAUGUUUGAUGUUCUAACGUUGGCCCGUAAUCCGGGUUGCGGACAGUGUCUGGUGGGUAGUUUGACUGGGGCGGUCUCCUCCUAAAGAGUAACGGAGGAGCACGAAGGUUGGCUAAUCCUGGUCGGACAUCAGGAGGUUAGUGCAAUGGCAUAAGCCAGCUUGACUGCGAGCGUGACGGCGCGAGCAGGUGCGAAAGCAGGUCAUAGUGAUCCGGUGGUUCUGAAUGGAAGGGCCAUCGCUCAACGGAUAAAAGGUACUCCGGGGAUAACAGGCUGAUACCGCCCAAGAGUUCAUAUCGACGGCGGUGUUUGGCACCUCGAUGUCGGCUCAUCACAUCCUGGGGCUGAAGUAGGUCCCAAGGGUAUGGCUGUUCGCCAUUUAAAGUGGUACGCGAGCUGGGUUUAGAACGUCGUGAGACAGUUCGGUCCCUAUCUGCCGUGGGCGCUGGAGAACUGAGGGGGGCUGCUCCUAGUACGAGAGGACCGGAGUGGACGCAUCACUGGUGUUCGGGUUGUCAUGCCAAUGGCACUGCCCGGUAGCUAAAUGCGGAAGAGAUAAGUGCUGAAAGCAUCUAAGCACGAAACUUGCCCCGAGAUGAGUUCUCCCUGAGACUUAGAGUCUCCUGAAGGAACGUUGAAGACGACGACGUUGAUAGGCCGGGUGUGUAAGCGCAGCGAUGCGUUGAGCUAACCGGUACUAAUGAACCGUGAGG
rnacentral:rRNA from 1 species